CAGAGGUUGAGAUAAGAUGAGUGAACAAAACGUUGAUUAAAAAAAAGAAAUUAUAAGGUCCAACUCUGAUUUCGUGCAGAG
rfam:Loxodonta africana unplaced genomic scaffold scaffold_12, whole genome shotgun sequence.